UGGUGAAUGUAGAAAACUAGCUAUGAAGAAUAAAAAUCUUAAGAAACUAAAUUCUGAAAAUGAAAGCUUAAGGUCAUUUUCAGAAGAAUUGAUUCAGAAAAAUCAUAGCUUAAUUAAAGAAAAUCAAAACUUAAGUAAAGAAAUCAAUCAAUUAAGAUCUUUUAUUAACAAAUUCACUGUAAGUUCAGAAAGAUUAAAAAUGAUGUUUGAAAGCCAACAUGCUGAUUUUGAUAAAUCAAAAUUUAGCUUGACUCCUUCACUUAGUCAUAAAUCUCUAGGGAAAAAGGUUAUCAAUUCACCAAGCAAACCAUUAAAUAAGAUAACUUAUU
rnacentral:lncRNA from 1 species